AUUCUNAUGGGCGAAGCCUGAAGCAGCAACGCCGCGUGCGCGAUGAAGGCCUUCGGGUCGUAAAGCGCUUUUGAGAGGGACGAGAUAGGACGGUACCUCUGGAAUAAGUCACGGCUAACUACGUGCCAGCAGCCGCGGUAAAACGUAGGUGGCAAGCGUUAUCCGGAUUCAUUGGGCGUAAAGCGCGUGCAGGUGGCUUCGUAAGUUGGACGUUAAAUCUCCCGGCCUAACCGGGAGGAGUCGUUCAAUACUGCGGGGCUGGAGGGCAGAAGAGGGGGGUGGAAUUGCUGGUGUAGUGGUGAAAUGCGUAGAUAUCAGCAGGAACACCUGUGGCGAAAGCGGCCCCCUGGUCUGCUCCUGACACUCAGACGCGAAAGCUAGGGGAGUGAACGGGAUUAGAAACCCCGGUAAUCCUAGCCGUAAACGAUGGAUGCUAGGUGUGGGUGGUAUUGACCCCAUCCGUGCCGAAGCCAACGCGUUAAGCAUCCCGCCUGGGGACUACGGCCGCAAGGUUAAAACUCAAAGGAAUUGACGGA
rnacentral:rRNA from 1 species